AACGCGAAGAACCUUACCUGGGCUCGAAAUGCAGGAGACCGGGGUAGAAAUAUCCUUUCCCCGCAAGGGGCUGCUGUAUAGGUGCUGCAUGGCUGUCGUCAGCUCGUGUCGUGAGAUGUUGGGUUAAGUCCCGCAACGAGCGCAACCCUUGUCCUGUGUUGCCAUACCGAAAGGUGGAACUCGCAGGAGACCGCCAGGGAUAACCUGGAGGAAGGUGGGGAUGACGUCAAGUCCUCAUGGCCUUUAUGUCCAGGGCUACACACGUGCUACAAUGGACGGUACAAAGGGCUGCCAACCCGCGAGGGGGAGCCAAUCCCAAAAAACCGUUCUCAGUUCGGAUUGCAGGCUGCAACUCGCCUGCAUGAAGCUGGAAUCGCUAGUAAUGGCGGAUCAGAACGCCGCCGUGAAUACGUUCCCGGGCCUUGUACACACCGGUACUA
rnacentral:rRNA from 1 species